UCCUACGGGAGGCAGCAGUGGGGAAUAUUGGACAAUGGACCAAGAGUCUGAUCCAGCAAUUCUGUGUGCACGAUGAAGUUUUUCGGAAUGUAAAGUGCUUUCAGUUGGGAAGAAAAAAAUGACGGUACCAACAGAAGAAGUGACGGCUAAAUACGUGCCAGCAGCCGCGGUAAUACGUAUGUCACAAGCGUUAUCCGGAUUUAUUGGGCGUAAAGCGCGUCUAGGUGGUUAUGUAAGUCUGAUGUGAAAAUGCAGGGCUCAACUCUGUAUUGCGUUGGAAACUGUGUAACUAGAGUACUGGAGAGGUAAGCGGAACUACAAGUGUAGAGGUGAAAUUCGUAGAUAUUUGUAGGAAUGCCGAUGGGGAAGCCAGCUUACUGGACAGAUACUGACGCUGAAGCGCGAAAGCGUGGGUAGCAAACAGGAUUAGAUACCCUGGUAGUCCACGCCGUAAACGAUGAUUACUAGGUGUUGGGGGUCGAACCUCAGCGCCCAAGCAAACGCGAUAAGUAAUCCGCCUGGGGAGUACGUACGCAAGUAUGAAACUCAAAGGAAUUGACGGGGGCCCGCACAAG
rnacentral:rRNA from 1 species